UCAGAGAGAAGGCAGCCCGGUCCCCCUCAGUGGAAGGGAGUGGCGGUGGGCGGAGGGUGUUGAGGGGACGGUGCCAGCGGCUUGCGGGAAGCCGGGCGAUGCGGGUAGAACGGUGGAGGAGAGGGCAGGGAGGCCGGGGCCUCCCGUGGAACGGAACCGGGGGGUUGGGAGGCUGGGGGCGGCCUGUGUGAAGGGGGCGGGGAGGGAAAGGCUCGCGGCCAGUAGAUGCAGGAGGGAGGAGGGCCUAGAGGGGCUCCGGGCUGGCGGCCUCUGUGAGGAAGGGGAAGGAUAUGGAACCAAGAUCCUUUAAAUCCUGAUGAACUCAUCCGUAAAGCAGAUGCCCAAAGGAUGAUAGUAAGCUUACUGUGACAUAACUCCCGGAGCCGCAGCACGAGCCUUGUGAACCUUGGAAGCCCGUUUUCCGCGCAGUCACUAACUCGCUUAGUCACCCUGUGUAAAAGUUAUUCUGGGAUGACACCUGCCUGGGAAGUCUCACCUUUCCCCCCACCUCCUCCUGUCUGCGUAUUGUUCUGUAGCACCCCGUGCGCACCUUGAUUGUAGCGCUUAAGCAAGGCAAUUUACUUCUAUAGAAGGGUGCGCCCUCACAGAUGGAGCAAUGGUCAGCUGGUGAUGCAGUUGCAGCCAGGAAUGAGUGAGCACCAGCCUGGGAACAUUUAUUCAGCGAAGGUGGUGGAGGAUGGGCCCCUGCAGGCUGGUUUCCUACGUGAGGCUGAUGCUGUCAUGGUUUCCCUGAGGUCAGUGGGAGCUUGCUCUCACUCAAUGGAUUCUCCACACGGUCCCCACUCCCCGCGACACCUUGACUUUUGGACCAAGUCUAAACUCCAUAGUGUGGCUUAGAAGGCCCUUCACAGGAUGACUGACCCCUGUGGAACUACUCAGGAUUCUUUGUUGCAGCCAAGAAAAGCCAAUUCUUGUUGAUUAAGCAGAAAAGGAGUCUUUUUGGAAAGAUAUCAAGUAACUCAUAGAAUUGUCCAGAAGGCUAAGGAACUGGCUUGGAAAAACAACAGAAGCUCAGGGAGGAGAGAUAAAGACUUUGGGAGCAAAGAUGAGGUUCGGAGAAAGGUUUACUGUCAAGCAAGGAAUCUGAUCUGACCCAGAGAACUUCAGUUCUGGGGAUGAGGCCCUAAGAAUCCGGUCUCCGUCAGGAAAGCAGUCUGUGGGCUCUGGAGCGACCUGGGAUCUGGAGUACAGUUCUGUUGGACAGUGCUGCAAGGAUGGAGAGACUAUUAAGAUCACCUGACUACACCAUUUAAAAAAUUUUUUGAAUGAACUAUCUUUGUUUGUAAGCCCCAAAACAUGGUCUGAAGACUCAUUAGUGACCUGAUCAUACAGCUGACCUCUGAACAACAUGAGUUUGAACUGCGUGCGGGUCACUUAUAGGCAAGUGUUCAACUGCACGGGGCAGGAGCAGUUGGUGCCCAAUCUGCUAAUUGUUCAAAGGUAGAGUGUAGUUUUUAAAGACAAGUGAGGUAAUUUCUUUUAAAUCUCUAGGCUACUACAAUACAGAAUGCUGGGAAAUGAAUUAAUGUUAUGCUUACGUGUGCUUUUCAAAAUUCCCCUUGUGACUAAUGGGAUGUCACUCUGCAAAAACAUUGUUAGUUUCCCAUUGAUUCCACUGGUUUGAGUGUGUUUAAUGCCGAGGAAAGUGAGAGUUCUUUCGGAAGAUGGUAGGUUUUUGUCUUUUUGAGGUGGUUCAUUUACUUUGAGAAUCAUCAUUUUGUAUUUUUAAAACCAAGUCUUAUAUGCAAAAUUAUUGAACUGUGAGAAGAAAAGGCAAAUAAAAUCUUUCUUUUUCAUUGCAAA